GAUGAACGCUGGCGGCGUGCCUAAUACAUGCAAGUCGAGCGAACAGACGAGGAGCUUGCUCCUCUGACGUUAGCGGCGGACGGGUGAGUAACACGUGGAUAACCUACCUAUAAGACUGGGAUAACCUCGGGAAACCGGAGCUAAUACCGGAUAAUAUAUUGAACCGCAUGGUUCAAUAGUGAAAGACGGUUUUGCUGUCACUUAUAGAUGGAUCCGCGCCGCAUUAGCUAGUUGGUAAGGUAACGGCUUACCAAGGCAACGAUGCGUAGCCGACCUGAGAGGGUGAUCGGCCACACUGGAACUGAGACACGGUCCAGACUCCUACGGGAGGCAGCAGUAGGGAAUCUUCCGCAAUGGGCGAAAGCCUGACGGAGCAACGCCGCGUGAGUGAUGAAGGUCUUCGGAUCGUAAAACUCUAUUAUUAGGGAAGAACAAAUGUGUAAGUAACUAUGCACGUCUUGACGGUACCUAAUCAGAAAGCCACGGCUAACUACGUG
rnacentral:rRNA from 1 species